GUGGGGAAUAUUGGACAAUGGGCGCAAGCCUGAUCCAGCCAUGCCGCGUGAGUGAUGAAGGCCUUAGGGUUGUAAAGCUCUUUCGUCAGGGAAGAUAAUGACGGUACCUGAAGAAGAAGCCCCGGCUAACUUCGUGCCAGCAGCCGCGGUAAUACGAAGGGGGCUAGCGUUGCUCGGAAUCACUGGGCGUAAAGCGCACGUAGGCGGCUUUCUAAGUCAGGGGUGAAAUCCUGGAGCUCAACUCCAGAACUGCCUUUGAUACUGGAGAGCUUGAGUUCGGGAGAGGUGAGUGGAACUGCGAGUGUAGAGGUGAAAUUCGUAGAUAUUCGCAAGAACACCAGUGGCGAAGGCGGCUCACUGGCCCGAUACUGACGCUGAGGUGCGAAAGCGUGGGGAGCAAACAGGAUUAGAAACCCUGGUAGUCC
rnacentral:rRNA from 1 species